CCCUUAGAUGUUCUGGGCCGCACGCGCGCUACACUGACGAUGGCAACGAGUUUUUCCUUCGCCGAAAGGUGUGGGUAAUCUUUUGAAACAUCGUCGUGCUGGGGAUAGAUCAUUGCAAUUUUUGAUCUUGAACGAGGAAUUCCUAGUAAACGCAAGUCAUCAGCUUGCAUUGAUUACGUCCCUGCCCUUUGUACACACCGCCCGUCGCACCUACCGAUUGAAUGGUCCGGUGAAAUCUUGGGAUUUUGUUUUGUUUGCAUUUAUUUGUAUCGAGACGAGAGAACUUGAGUAAACCUUACCAUUUAGAGGAAGGUGAAGUCGUAACA
rnacentral:rRNA from 1 species